AAGAGGAGGUAGCUGAGAAGACGAGGAGGACAAGCACAACACAGAAGAAAGAGGAGGAGGAAGAGAAGGAAGAGGAGGAGGAGGAGGAGGAAGAAGAGGAAGAGCAUGAGAAGGAGAAGAGGGCAGGAGGAGAAGGAGAAAAAAGAGAAACACAGCAGCAGACUCGGGUACUGUUACAGCUCUGCUCCCUCCUACAGGACACGUUCCCAUCACCUUCACGUCCUGGACACGUGCACAAACUUGUGCCUGGGCAGUCUCACUGCAGCAACUGCCAGUGCUGUGGCUGGGUGGCAGGAGGGAGGGACAAGCUGGCCACCCUCUCUGUCACCACCUGCUGGGGAAAGACCACCAUUAUCAUCAUCAUCUUGGUUUUCCUUUUUUGUUUUCUUUCACGAUUUACAAGGAAUAUUAACAGUUUGUUUUGUUAGUGUUGUCUGUUUGUUAUUAAAUGAUGUGUUGAUUGUGUUGUUGUUGUUUAUGUGUUAGUUGUUGUUGUGUUUUGUAUGUGUGACUGAUGAAUAAAGGCAGUCCACACUUA